UGAAGAAAUAAAUAGAAAUUCGUACCCACAAUUAAAAUCCUUUACAUCUCUACCUUCCAUCUACUCAUCGACUUUGAUAGUUUUGCUCUUUAUUCAUUUCCACAAUCAAAAUUUUGAAACCAAAACCUUCAACUAAGCUUUGCCAAUUCAGCAUUAUCGAAACCCUUCUCCUCCUCCCAUUCCCCUUCUUCUUUCACCAAAUGGAUUCCGACGCCGUCGCCGGAGAUGAGGUCGUCUUCGAAUUCCUCCCCGUCUUCCGCGUCUUCCAAAGCGGCCGCGUCGAGAGGCUCUUCCCCACCGACCGCCUUCCACCGUCCACCGAUCCACUCACCGGCGUCCAAUCCAAAGACAUCCUCAUCGAUCCACAAACCCAACUCUCCGUACGGAUAUACCUCCCACAUAUUUCAGACUCCACCAAGAAACUCCCGCUUCUAAUUUACAUCCACGGUGGCGCCUUCGCCAUCGGCUCCGUCGCAUCGCCGAUCUACCACCCCCACCUCAUCUCCCUCGCCGCCGAAUCCAACGCCGUCGCUGUCUCGGUAGAAUACCGUCUGGCGCCGGAAAAUCCUCUCCCAGCGGCGUACGACGACGCGUGGGCGGCGGUGGAAUGGGCGGCGUCGCAUUCCAAUGGCGACGGCGCGGAGAUUUGGCUGAACCAACACGCUGAUUUCAGCCGCGUAUUUGUUAUUGGGGAUAGCGCUGGUGCAAACAUUUCGUACAAUGUAGUGGACCGGGCCAGCGAGAGUGAUAAUGGGCCGAAGGGAAUGAAGAUAAUUGGGCUGGGCCUAGUUCAUCCGUUUUUCAUGAUUGAUAAGCCCGAUAAGUUGAUAGAGUAUGUUUUCCCCACGUCAGCGGGUUUGGAGGAUCCGAGGAUGAACCCGUGGGCCAACCCGAGACUUGGGAAGCUACGGUGUGAGCGCGUGUUAAUACUUGCAGCGGAACUUGAUUCGUUAAAGGAUAGGGCGCGUGGGAUUCACGCAGCCUUAAGGGAGAGUGGAUUUGAAGGGUCGGUGGAGAUUGAGGAGACUGAAGGGAAAGACCACGUGUUUCAUUUGCUUAAACCCGAGACAGAGAAGGCUGUUGCAUUGGUAAAAAAGAUAGCGUCCUUUACCCAAUCAGCAUAAGCCACGUGGGAACUUUUCUCUCUUACAGAAGUGCAAGAAUAUUAGGAAAUUUUUUUUUACCACAAUCAAAGAGAGAAGGAAGCUUUCGGGUGAACGGUUGGACGGACGGUUAAAUGGAGGCACAUGACUUAAGGUAGGAAAUUUUUGGAUAAUUUGUUCGGAUAGACAAACAGAAGAGAUUUUCGGACGAAGAAGACGGAAGAAAAGAGGAGGCAGAAGGCUUUCGGAUGGAGGAACAAAAAGGUCGCGACAGUUUAAUGUAGGGAGUCGUAUACCCGGUACACGACUUCAGUCAAUACUGUAUGACUACCACGGCAGAUUGCGCGUGCUAGAUCAACAGGAAAUCAUGUACCCCGUGUACCAGGGAUGAUGGUGGAGUUCGAACCUCUCAUCUUUAGGGAGGUUAACUUGAUGUCUUAAUCGAUUGAGCAAUAUUCAAAUGUCGUCAUAUAUAAUAAGUGUGAGGUGAUCAUCGUAUUUUUUUUCCUUUCAAUUUUAUAGUAAAAUACAUAUUAAUGUAUUUGGUUAUUCUUUUAUCUAAGAAUAUAGAAUAAAAUAGCUAUUUAGUGUUUAAAUUUU